AGCGGAGGAAAAGAAACCAACAGGGAUUGCCCUAGUAACGGCGAGUGAAGCGGCAACAGCUCAAAUUUGAAAUCUGGCGCAAGCCCGAGUUGUAAUUUGUAGAGGAUGCUUCUAGGUAGCGACCGGUCUAAGUUCCUUGGAACAGGACGUCAUAGAGGGUGAGAAUCCCGUAUGUGACUGGCCCGCACCUUCUACGUAGCUCCUUCGACGAGUCGAGUUGUUUGGGAAUGCAGCUCUAAAUGGGAGGUAAAUUUCUUCUAAAGCUAAAUACCGGCCAGAGACCGAUAGCGCACAAGUAGAGUGAUCGAAAGAUGAAAAGCACUUUGGAAAGAGAGUUAAAAAGCACGUGAAAUUGUUGAAAGGGAAGCGCUCACAACCAGACUUCUGGGCGGUGUUCCGCCGGUCUUCUGACCGGUCUACUCACCGUCCCGAGGCCAACAUCAUCUGGGACCGCCGGAUAAGACCUCAGGAAUGUAGCUCCCCUCGGGGAGUGUUAUAGCCUGUGGUGAUGCGGCGCGUCUCGGGUGAGGUCCGCGCUUCGGCAAGGAUGUUGGCGUAAUGGUUGUCAGCGGCCCGUCUUG
rnacentral:rRNA from 1 species